UUUGUAAAUAUUUUAUCUGGCUCCAUGGCUGACAAAAAUCCAUGAGCCUGUGUCAAGUAAUCUCAUAAGACUAGGGCACCUCCAGUUAGUAGACUUCAAUUAGUGCUAAGUGAAAGAUUCCUAAAAUAUAUGAUAUGCUCCAUCUAAUCAAUUGCUUUCAGUAGUUCAUUAAUCAACAUGAUAUGCCACUCCUCCUCUCUCCAGGAGAAAAGGAAAGACCAAAAUUGUUAAUAAAUGAAUACAUGCAUACAUGUACAUAAGAACAAAAUGGGUAGGAACCUACCUAUGGACUUGGAGGUCCACCUGCCCAGUAUAGGGAUUGAUACAUCCAUCUUAAUUUACUUUUUGAAUUAGAGACUUGGAGAUCUAUGUUAUUAACUUAAGAAUUAGAGGUCCAUUUUACUAUUACUUGGUUCCAGGGCUAAAAAAUGGUAUAAGUUCCAAUAUCCAUUUUCCUAAGCUUUUGGUUACUCCGUAUUUGGUGUUCACUAAUCCUGAGGCUCCCAAGCUGUUCCCAGCAUCCAAAUUUGGUAUGCACUAGGGUCUUUGCCCUUUUGGGGGAAAAGAUACUUUGAGAGUGUGAGUUUGAGCUCAUCAUGAUUCUAUCUGAAAGAAGAUUUCACACUGCGAAGUAUUGCGAAGCUGAAAAAUAUGCGUGAUUUAGGUUCCAUGGUUCAAAAUUCUGUGGGAGUUUAGGUUCCAGGCUUUAAGUAUCUAGAAUCUGAUAUGGGCCACUAAUGUCACUUGACUUUUGGAUCCAUGUUUGAUAUCGAACCAUGUAUCCACACUUUAGACAAUCCAAAUUUGGUGUUGGCCUGAGGCAUUCAUUUUCUUUCUGGUUCCAAGGCCAAAAAUUUAGUGCUGGAGAAGGUUCUAGAUCUUAUAUGAUCAAAAUUUGGCAUGAAAUCAUUAGUUCACUUUAUUUGACAGAAUUAAUUUGAUCCAUCCAUGCCCUUGGCAUGAUUAGGCUUUUGCCCAGUUUGAGUCAAUAAGUCUUUGAUUUAUCCUUUAAACGUGUUGGAGGCAUUUAACCUUAGGAUUUGUGUGGCGAGCUUUGUGAGACUAAUAUAUGUGAUGCUCAUUUUGGUUUGGUUGAGGUUGAUGUUACCUUUAACAUAAUUUGGAAAUUGCCAGCGUUUCCCCAUCAAAAUUUGAUGGGUCUUACCCCAACAAAGCAGCACUUAGUUCUUGAGUCACUUGAUUGUUCAUAUCUUGAGUUUGAUAUCAGUUAAUGGUCAUGGAGAUAUAGACUGCAUAGCACAUAGAACAUGAAGCUUUUGAGUCAUUGUUGAAGUUUAAAAGGCUUGUUUCCAUUUUAGUGUCUUAAUAGGCCUAGGUCUGUUUUUGCUUCUAUGAUUGGUUGAGUCAUUGUUUCCAUUUGAUGAUUAAUGCGUCUGAGUCUAGUCAAUUCUUCAUGGGUUGAGCUUAUUUUGUUUUACUGGGCAUAAACCAGAUAACCCAAUUUUAAUGAUAAUUAUCACCAUUUAUCUAUGGGGAAUUCUAAUGAUUUUUGUUAGCAAUAAUUUGAGGCUUUAAGAUCAGUUAGCAGUUUCAGCAUGAAGAAUUCAUAUUAAGACAGCCAUUGAUUAUGCAGGCAGUAGACUGUUGUGAUCUUUAAGCUAAAAUUGAUGUGAUGCCAAUCUGUUAAGGGUGCUCUGUGUGUGCGUGUGUUGGGUUGGGGGGGAGGGGGGUACGCAUCUCUGAGUGCAUGCAUGGACAAGUGAGAGUAUACACACAAGCAUUCAUGUGUCUGUAGACUCUGUACCUUUUAGAUAUGGGGUUCUUGUAUCUAAAUGAGACAUUGCUGGCUGCCUGUCCUGUCAUCAUAUGGAUAAAAUCGGUAUUUUUUAAUUGAUUUCUUUUAAUCUAAAUUUUAGUUGUUUUUGAACAGGACGUGAUGGAUUCCUCUAAUUCUUCAGCUGAUAAUGGUUGCACCAGCGACACCUAUGAUACAUAUCUCCUAACACGGGGAAGGGCAUGGGCAAUAUCUCUCAUUAUGAGGGACAGACUGAGUGAAGAAUUCUUAAGGGCAUCUUUUCUAGGAAUAGACUCUGGAAACCUUCUAUAUAGGUUGGUCAUCACCAUCUCUUUAUCAUAUGUGGCUAUAAAAUUGUUCUUUUUUCUUUUUUAACAAAUUCUUCUUCUACAUGCCUGCUUUUUUGAAAAGUGAUCCUUGUGAGUACAAUUUCUGCUGUAGAAUGCUGAUUGCUGUCUGCUCACUCUUGCAUCAUCAUGUUUGUGAGUUAACGUGUUCAGUGUGCGGCCCAUUGAUUUCAAACUUUCAGUCAGAAACAAUUCAUUAUAUUUUAUAGUCCAUGAUGGUUGCCCUCUAGUUUUUUAUGAGGAAAAACAGUUGUUCAAUGUCAUGGAAACUUUCAAUUAAAACUAGUUUUAUAUUGGAGUCAAAGAGUCUGUAGUUACAUGGACCAUCUUGAGAGGUUGGCACAUUGCUAUUAUUAUAGGCGAAGCUUGAACAUCAAGACAUACAGAAAGUUGACAUGUAGAACUGAGAGACAUUGACAAGGAUAGAUCUUAUGUAUCAACUCAAAGGGAGAAAUCAUUGCAUUAUGUGAUAUAGAUGUUGAAUUAAUGGUUGUUACUAUAUAUACUUGUAAGCGCAAGCUCAGAUUGUACAUUUGUGAGUAGACAAUCUCAACAAGCAUUUUAUCUGAAGGCUAAAUGAAAGGAAGCUCCAUCAGAAUGACAUUAAAGCCAACAAACUUCAAUGAAUGUGCUUCAAGAUUAGUGGUGGUUAUUAUGAGGAAUAUUAGUGUUUCUGCAGUGUAUAUUUCAAAAGGAGACUACUUGCUUGCCUUAAACAUGUAACGUUGGGCAAUAUGGAUUGUUUGGAAGACUGAUAACAAAAACCAACAUAUCAAGUGCUAACAACCAGGACAUAUAUACACCUUUUCUCUUUGUUAUGUGAAGGUUCUGAAGCAAAAGUAUAUUAAUUAGAAAUGCUUAGGUCUAGCCCAUGUUGCAUCAUCUAGUAGGGCAUAGCUACAGUUGCAUAAGCUGGAUCUAUGAUUUGAUGUAUCAGCAGAGUGUGAUCAUGGCUCUCUGAGUUGUACUAUCGUGGUGAUGUUUAAAAAAACUGAAAAGGACACAGAAGUAUAAGGUUUGGAGGGAUUUGUAUGCAGGUCAAUUUAUUGAUGGAGAUGACCCUUUCAUUUAACAAUAAAGUGCUGACUUAAGGUUGUGAUAUUGUAUUGAUAUAAUUCCAUAUCACAGAGGUACUUCAUACCUCUUAUCCUCAAUUUUCUUCUCUUAUUUUUCUUAUUUAUAUAGCAUGACAUGUUAUUAGAGUAAUGGUUCUACUUGCCUUGGUUAUUUGCUAAUGUACCUGCUCUCAUUCAGUUUAAUAGAUAUAGAUAUUCUAUAACCUAAGUUCCCAUAAAUUGCCCAUGCAUUUUUCUCUUGUUUUACGUGCAAGUAUAUAUACUUUUUUGCACCUUCACUGGAUAUGUAUCGAUUUGAGUUUCUUCUUUUGUUCACAUGUAUCUCACAGGAGCACCAAUGUAGGCUGCCUUUUAUUCAUUAAGUCUAUUUCCUCCUCCACUUGGUCUUCCUAGUUAUUGAACAAAUUAUUAUUUAUUUAGAACAUAAAUUUUUCCUUAAAACCAGAGAAUUUUUUUGUUAUCCUUAAAAUAUAUAUCAUUAUAACAAGACCUAUGCUAACAAGUCACUUCCUUUUUUGUGACUUGUGUUUUUUCCCUGAAGGAGGGCUACCUAUGUAAAACUAAUAAAGCAUAGACAAAAAAAAAAAAGAGAGUAUAAAGCAGAUUAUCUUUAAGGAACCCUUAAAAUGAUAUUCCAAUGCAUAAUUUAAGUGGUAUUAAACUCAUAUGUUGCAUGUGUAGUUCUACCAAAAGAUCAAGAAAUAAACAGAGAAAUGAAAAUAAAAAGGAAAAAAAAUUAUGAAAUGGGAAACCAAAUUACCAGAGUAAUGGACUACAACAAAUAUUAGGCAUCUCUUAAAAAAUGAAAUUAAAAAGCUUAAAUGAAUAGAUAAAUAAAGCUAGCAGAAACAUAAAAAGCAUCGUUUUAGAAUAAAAUAAAUAAUUAAUGAAUAGAAAGGCAUGCAUAGUGAGCAAAGUGAGAGAAAGAUGAAUAAAAUAAUCAGAAAUGUAUUUCUAAUUAAAAGAUGAACUUGUUUGCCAAAGUGAACCACAAAGUUUGCAGUCUCGACUGAGUGUUUGUACUUUAUUAUGCUUAGCCUUGUCAGAUACCUGCUUAUGAUUGCCACCUAUUUUUGUAUUCAAAAAUCAAAACUUUAUCAACUAUUGAUUAUUUAUGGUUGCAAUUCUUUGACUCUGUCUCCAGAAUUACCCGUUUAUAAAGAUUUCUUGUUAUGCUAGAAGUUAAAGCUCUUUCAACGACCAGUAAAGUAUGGCAAAAAUUUGAUAAAAUGUAUUUUUUCAUUAUAAAUACAAGACUCAUAAGUUUGCAUCAGUUACUUGCUACCAUAUGUUCAGUCAUACCUCAUAUAGAUUUCUUGCUACAAAGUUCCCUGAAAACUCUUAAAAAUAGAUAAUAGCUUUCAUGAUUUUGUUGUUUUCCAUGUGAAAUCUUAAGUCACCUUUGUGUUUAUAGUUGUUUCUUUGAAACUGGAGGUCAGUGUUAGAUUAUGUCAUAUUUACUGUUGUUAAAAGCUCAAGAAAUGGUGGAGAAUUAUCUCGAACAUUUAUGGGCUGGUUACUAAAAUGAGAUUAGGCUUCCAUUUCUAAUUAACUAUUGCUGUUAGCUUCUCUAACAUUUGCCUCUUUUCAUCAAAAUCAACAUCAUCAAGGUGAUGUUGAUUUUCCCUUGUAAUCAGUGUUGUAGUCAUCUAGAAACCUCAUCAAUUAGCUUUAUUUGUUAAAGCUUUAACCAAUGACUCUUUAGCUUGUUGCUUUUUAGGCAGUGGAUGGAAGAGUAUGUGCCCCACACCUCUGAGCACAAGGAGUAAGAACACUCUAUGAUAAAAUCUUCAUUGCAAGCCCAUUCAAUUUAAAGCACAUGAAUCAUUCAUUUUUCACCAACCUAUUAGACUCGUUAUGUCUUCCUUUAGUGGCUUCAAGUCAAGCAAUUUUUAUUAGUCAACGUGAAAACAUCAACAUAACUAUUCUGAACUUCAAGUUCACUUUUUGGAUUGCAUCUUUUGUUUUGGUGUAGGAGGCACCACCCUUAUCUCCGAUUCUUUGAGAUUAGAUUGUGUGGCAUUAGAAUGCUAUCAAGGCAGUGAAGAGAAACAUUCAAAUUAUCUCACUGAUUAACAAGCAUAUCAUGAACUAUUUGAUAAACAAUUGGAUCAUCAAAAGGUGCUUUUAUAAUGGAUAUCAGCAUCAUAUCCAUAUAUCCAUAGGGUUCCUUAAUGACACCUUCAUUGGAACCAGCAAACUUGAACAUCGCAUGGAUGGACUUUGAAAAGUUUAGAACAAACGUCGCCUUGACCACAAGAUACUUCACUGUUAGAGACCUUGUCAUGCUCCUCUUCAUAUCCAAAUUUUCUUGUUACUGCCUAUUGGUUCCUUGUAACCAUAAACAUUAAAACCCUUCUAAUAAUUAGCAAACAAUGCAUUAUUGGAUAAGGAUGGCCUGACCUUGUUUUCUUCAUGUUCAGCAGAGGAAAAUCAGUAUAAUCCUCAAAAUGUACUAACAUGAGAUGUGAUUCUUGAAGUAGUGAUAAAUUUUAUUUCUCUUACAUAGUGCCUCAAUAAAAAGGAGAGCAAGAUGCUUGGAAAUUGAUGUAUCUUUCAUAAUGGACUCAAGGUAGAAGUCAAACAUCAUAAUGAGAAUAUGUGAGGGUAUCUUUUUUCAGUUGUGUAACUGACAGCUUUGCAACUAGAUGUAUUGUUAGUUAGGACUUAGACAAUUUGAUUAACCCUGAAUGAAUCAAUUACUGUUAGAAUGAGCCUUCCAUUAUUUUCACUUAUCUUAUCAAAAAGAGAUAAAAUUAAGAGUUGCCAUCAAAGAUUACUAAAAUAUUUGCUAGGGUCUGGAUUUGUUAAUAAUUGCUCACCAAUCCUAGACAAUUGAGACCUGAUAGCAAGGUUGGCCCUGUUGAUACCAGAUCUUGUACCAAUAACAUGCUGGUAUAGUGUUGAUAUGCUCAAUAUUAGGGUUGAUUCAGCAAACUGAGACUGAUUAUACGCUCCAUACCAUGUCUUGGUUUGGUCGGGACGACACAGUUUGUCUGAUAUGGUGCAAUAUAUACAGGUAUGGUGAAUCUUGCCCCAUAGUUUGACCAUUAUUCUUAAAUAAGAACAAGCUCAUUUUCAACUAAUGUACUGCAACACCAUCAAGGAAAUGUCCACAAUGUCACCAAACAAUAAGGGCAAUGGAGGAAUUUGUUUGCAACAUUUGUUGCCAUAGGAAUUUUUCAAUAGUUCAUAUUCUCUUGUAAGAACCCUUUAUUGGGCAUCUUGAAGGGCAGGCAGCACAAGGACUAUCAAAUAGUAGUAGGCCAGUCCCUUGCUGAAGAAUCUUCUUCACAAGCAUUUGGCUUCCUAAAUGGCUGGCACAGAUGGUACCAUGUGCUUGAUCGACGACUUGCUUUGCUUCAGUAUUGUCGCGGCAGCUUAAAAAAUACAAUAUGGAGAGAGAACUUUUAGGAGAAAAAAGAUAGAUAGAGAUUAAAAAAAAUAUUUGAACAAAAACCAAAAUGGAGCAAGUUAGCACCUGCACCAUUAAUUUUUCUUCAGCAUUUUUCUCUUCCAACCUUACUCUGAACUGGUUUCUGAUCCAGAGGGCAAGGGGAAUGUUUAACAAAAAGCAGUAAGAUGUUAAUUCCAAAAUUGCAUAGUUCUUGAUAUUAAUGGCAUGCUAAAUUCAUGUUGUGAAAUCACCUUUGCUGAAAUAGAUUGUCAUGGUAGGUUACAACCCUCCUAAUUAUGGGCCACUAAAAAAAUACCCUUGUGAUAGACAUGGUAGACCUAAGUAAGAAAAUGAGUUUGCCCUUAUUAAAAGCAAGUGGUUUAACUUUUGGGAUCUUGAUUAUCCAUAUUUUCAGACAAAUAUCAAAAACCAGAACCAAAAAGAUAUACUGGUAGCAUCUGAUGGUAAAGCUCUAUUAAUAGAUGGACCAACAAGAAUGUUAUAGAGCUUCUUCUAAAAGAAACUGAUUUGUUAGGCCCUACAAGGUUGUUCAAGUAAUAUAACAAUGUAUUUGAUUGCAAAGCUGCUGAUUACAUAAUUGAAAGAAAAUGCCUCACAUGUUUUGGUUAGAAUGCAUGACACAUGUGCAAAGUCUAUAGAUGGAAGGAAACAACUUCCGAGCAUCUUGCUUUCCUUUUACAAUGCAUAUGUACAAUAGGAAAGAAAACUGUCAAGCACAUGAGCAUAGCUCAUGCUAGUGCAUGAUUAGAAUUUGUUCUAAUCUUAAUGUGAAAGUAGAGAAAAUUGUACUUGUUCGUCAUCAUUUGGUCAUACAUCAUUUCUAACUGAUGAAGGGGUUUCGGUAUCAUUGGAUAUAAACAAUACGUGAUCAAAAAUGAGGAAUAGAUAUAAUUAGGAGCAGGAUGAAGAGUCAUGAACUAUCAUAUGCUAUGAAUUUUGGGCUUAAACAAGGUUUACUCUAAACAUCACAAAGUUCAUCCAUGUGAAGAACAAGUUGCUAAUUCUGAUAACUUAUUACUCAGAAAGCUAUGGAAGAAUGAGUAUGAUGCUAGAUUUCAUUAAGAGAGAUCUUCUUGAUGAUCUAAUUACUUUCAAUUAGUACAUAACAUUGUCAUUAUUCAAUGGUAUAUGUUCAGUGUUCCUUUCCCUUGCAUUGCUUACACUCUAAUGCCUGAGUAUUACACAAAGUUAGUCUGGUGCUUUCAACAUCAAAAGGCAACAUGUUGCAAUCUAAUCACUUAUCUUGAAUUAUAAAAGUUCCACCUUGAUGCUUUGCUAAGAAUGUCUCAUUAUCCAAAGAUAUUUAACCAACUUCUUCAGCAAUGGAGUAUUUACUCAGCUAGAGUCAUCAAAGUCUGACAUAUUGUGAGUUCUAGAGUUUGGGAUAUGUAUGGUGCAAGUGCUUCAAUAUUGCAUGGGCCUGCAAUAAGAGUUGUAUCAAAGAAUGUCAACACUUGUUGUGCUUAAAGAUUUUGGAGUACAUCUUGUAUCCAUAAUCUAAUGACCAAUUAAACUUAACAUUAGUCAAGUCAAAUCUUUAGUUUCCAUACAUUAUAACUCAAGGUUAUUGACGAGGUUUCAAGAUGGAAAGGGCAUUGAUUUUAAGAGAUAUUGCACUUGCUUGGGUUAUGUUGAUGUUGACAGCACUAAGUUAUUAAGGGUGAUGGCUGCAACAUGUUGAUUUAGAGGCAGAAGACUUAUUUCAUGUUGGUUUUUUUCCCAGAGCGCUUAAAAAUAAUUUGGCAACAUUUCAUGAACUUCGAGCAGUAGUAGAAGCAAGGUCUGCAAAAUUGGUACUGGUCCCUAUAUGGUACCCAAACACAUUGUGAAUCAAGUAUUGAUACGGUGCAUACACUGGUACUGAGAACUGGUAUAGGUGUGUAUGGAGUCUCAAUACUUUGAUAGUACGGUAUGGUAUCCGGUGCUGCAGUAUGGUCUGGGACAGCAAAUUGUCAGUAGAUGACACAAUCUAAUAGUGGCCUUUCAGCAUAUAUGGAGCAAAGUCAAUCAUAAUGCUACCUUAAGAUUUACGUGCAAAAUGAUAAUGAAAGUAGUUAAAGUCAUGACAUGUUCUAUAUCAGUUUUCUGGAGCAAUAUGUAGCAGCAAAUGUUUAUGAUGUAUGAGUUUUGUGGAACACUUUCCAGUAAGUAUUUUUGGCAAUCUUUAUGAGUCCAAGGUUUUAAAAUCAUAAUAGAGAUCAAAGUUCGCUGUCUCGGUACCAGAUCCCAUAUUAAUACCAUCCUAUAGUGUUGGUAUUAUAAUACGGCACGAGACAGCAAGGCAUAUCAAGUGAUGGUAUGGUAUGAGACUGCAGACUGGUUUAGUACUAGUACACUAUGCCCAGUAUGGUUAAACUCGACCCAUACUACUUGCAAUUAUGAAAGUAUGUAAGCGAUAGGUAUAAUAUUGACACAUGGUACCAAUUUGUACCUAAGCAGAAAAGAUAGUCUAAAAGCACUUUCUCAGUAUGCAGUGGUAUGGGGUCAAUGUGGGGCUUCUUUUUUCCUCUUUUUUUUUUCUUUUUUGGCGGGGGAGGGGGGAGUGGGGAUGGCCCUAUGCGAAGACAGCAGCACUGGCUCUAUGAAGUCUAAAUUGAAUCUUUCUGUUGGUUUUCUCGUGAAUAAGAAAUGUUGGGUGUGGUGAAGCAAGCACUUCUAGCUGUUUCGCUUGCUUCUUUCUUAUUGUGGCAGCUAUUAUGGUGUGGCGGAAAUUAACAAAAAGACGCCGUUUGAAUGCAUGCCACUGACUUGAAGUUUGCAAGGAACUAUGAAGGGCCUUUUGUGGAUUAAAGCCAUUCUGUAAUUGAUUUCUCCAAUGACCUAGCCCAGUAAUCAGCCGUGCUAGCAUGCACACUAUUCUUCUUUAGAAUAGUUCGUAGAUACGGUAGUAGAGGUGAAGGAGUGCCAUGUUUUAGCAGCGAAUUAGGAUUUUUUUUCCUUCUUUUUCGUCUGAUAAAUGGAGUAGCAGAAAUUGGACCUAAGGCAAUGACGCUUGUCCACUGACUCUCUAGAAGCGGGUGCUGGGCAUCAAUCCUUGAUCAUAUAUCCAGUUUGUUUUCAUCUUUUUUAAAAGAGUUUUAACUUCUAGUGGAAUGAAAAUUUGUUGUAAGCUAGCAAUUUAAAAUAUAGGAAAAAAGAAGUAGUUUGAUUAAAAAUCCAAAUUUAAUAUGUUCUUAUAUUUUUAUGGAGGGGUUACAUACAGAGGGAUGCAUGCGCUCAACAAUAAUACACCAAAAAAACAAAAAAGAGAAGAAAAGAUAAGAAACAAGGAGGGGGAGGGGGUCAGUUAAAAGAACCGUUCAUUCUGUUCCUGUUUUCAAUUGUCAGUGCCUCAUUGGUAUAUUGCUUCAGAUCGUUGGAAUCAGUACAUCAAUAAAGAAAACUUCAUAAGCUCAUCUUUAAGAAAUGGAACAUUUUUCCUUCUCUCUGUUUCAAAUGAAGUUUUCUUCCUCUUCAACAAGCUUAUGCAGCAGAGAAGGGAAACUAGAAUUUAACAACUCGAACGUUGGUCAAAGAUUUAAAGUAGUGGAGCAUCAAUGAGUUACCUGGAUAUGAAAUUUGAUAGCCAUUUAAUUUGUUGUGUGCCCAUUUGGGUGGGGAGAGGGUCCACUCCUCAUUCUCAAAGCCACUUUUAUGAAGGGAUGGUUUCUUCUUGUUGUAUGUUGGAUCAACAAGAAGAAAGAAAAGGUACUUUGAGCCAAGGGUUUUAUCAAGGUCAAUGGAUUCUAGAUUCAUCUAGUGAUGGUGUUGCACCCAAUACUAUAACAAAAAGUUAUACAAUGGCUCUAGAGAGCUAUUUCAUCCAGUUUUACAGGUUGAAGCCACAUAAGCUAUCAAUGACUUUUAAGAUGUAUACUUGGAGAAAGAUUCUGAUUCAUUAUUAGAAAUCGAGAUAGCAUUAUAUAUCCAGUAAUGAUGGAUCGUUCUUUCAAGCCUAUAAAUAUCCAUUAAAGAAGAUCCUUUCAAGUCUUAUUCUUAUCUUGGGGUGGUGUUACAAGUUAGUGGUCUGUAAAGCAGCAUCAAAGCACUAUCUGAUAGAAAUGCAUGCAUUAGUCCUGAUAAUGCAGUGCCUGUUUAGUCUCAACAAAGAAAGUAGUCUGCAAUGAUACCAAGCCACUUGGCAUGGUUGUGAAGUGUCUGGUUGUCUAAGACUUCUGUAACAUUUGAACCCUAAAAUGAGUUCUGGAGGGUUUAGUGAGGUUUGUUACACUACUUUAAAAUUUUAAUGGUAGAGUUUGUCUUUUAAAUGCAGUUCACCUACAUUUUCCGACAGCCUUUCUUUCAUCCAAUGUAAGUCCUUUACAAAGUAAUGAUAAAACUGAUUCUUGAUUUUAGUGGAGGAUGAAGCUUUUCAUUUUAUGGAUAAGGCUUAACGAGCUGCACAAAAUCCACACGCCACCGCCCUGCCCCCCUUCCCCCCUUUAUAUUUCUGGAAAUCUAUGGCAUAUUAUUUGAUAAAAUAGAAUGGGGUGGUUUGCAUUGCACUAGCUCCUGGAAACCUGGAUGGUGGAUGUUUUUGAGGUACCUCUGCAAGAUUACAUGACUAAUGACUAAAUGAAGUUCUGAGUCUGCACAAAGCUGAUGCUUCUCUAAGCAAGAGGGUCAAGGCUGAAAAUUCCUGCUGGUACACUCUGCAGUAUGAGAAGAACCUUGUUUUUCUUAGAAAUUGGAAGCAAAAGAAUUCUCAAAAGUUAACAUACAGGAUGCUUGAACUUUGUCUUACAAUCCCUUCACAAUAGAUAAUGGAAGAAGAUGCUAUCCUUACCAAGUUUACUUUAUCAAGUGAGCAGAUAAUAUCUUAUUUGCUUCAAGUUAUAUUACUUCCUCUCUCGCACCUAAAAAAAUGACAAUUUGAUUUAGCGUAUAUUUCUUGAGCUAUUUUCCCCACAUUCUUGAUGCACCUGUUUAUUGAUACGAUGACAUGCAUUGUAUUGGUUGAUGUGUUG
rnacentral:lncRNA from 1 species